CAUCAAUCGAUUCUCCUUUGUCUGUCCUGCUUGUUAUUUCUUAAAAUAAUUUCUACAGGUUGGUCAGGCAAGGUUUUCCCUUCAGGAAACCAUGCUGACUGUGGUCUAUUUUAUCUUGUGACACGGUACUCUCAGAGCUCAUCAUUAAUAAUCGACUCCAACAUCUUCCCAAUCACUGCGGACAGACUAACUGGCCUAUAGUUUCCUUUCUUCUGCCUCUCUCCCUUCUUGAAAAGUGGUGUGACAUUGGCAAUAUUACAUUCUUGAGGAACCAUUCCGGAACAUUGUGAUUCCUGAAUGUUCAUUACUAAUGGGGCCACAAUCUUUUUAGCCACCUCUUUCAGAAAGCCGGGGUGUACACCAUCUGGGUCACGUGACUUAUCUAACUUGGCCUUCCAGUUCCUCAAGAACCUUCACUCUGGUUCUGGUAACUUUGUACACUUCUGACUCCUGACACCCGGAAGUCCCACCAUUAUGCUGGUGUCUUCCUCUGUGAAGACAGACACAACAUACUUAUUCAGUCUGUCUACCAUUUCUUUGUCUCCUGUCACUGCCUCUGCAGCAUCGUUGUCCAGCCACCCUAGACUUUUUAUUCGAUAAAAAGUGGGGUGCAAGUGCUUUAAUUGGGCAAGAAUGUUGCACCAACACACCAGACAAAACUGAAAAUGUAACUCACCUGAUGGAUUAUAUUUGAGAGGCAGCAGAUAGAAUGAGAGAAGUGGGAGAGCAGUUCCACAAUGAUAACCCCUCAGUAAGUCAGUGGCCAUGUGGGACUCUGGGACGAUGGUGGGAUACUGGUUUACAUUGUACAUUUCCGCAAUGAUAACCCCUCAGGAAGCCGUUGGCCAUUUGGGACUCUGGGACGAUGGUGGGAUACUGGUUUACAUUGUACAGUUCCACAAUGAUAACCCGUCAGGAAGCCGGUGGCCAUUUGGGACUCUGGGAGGAUGGAGGGAUACUGGUUUACAUUGUAGAGUUUAUCAAUCAUAACCCCUUAGGAAGCUGGUGGCCAUUUGGGAUUCUGGGAGGAUGGAGGGAUACUGGUUUGCAUGAUGGAAUAACCAUUGGAGCAAUAAUAAUACAAACAAUCUGAUUAUGAUUCUCGUGCUCAGUCGGGAGUCUGAAAAGGAGGAGAUAUCAGGGUUCUGGCUCCUCAUGGGGAAUGGACGGGGAAAAGAAAGCCCUGAGAUCUGAAGUAUUUUCACUUUAAAGACAUCAUUCACUUCGUAAGUUCUGAUGAUAUUGGAUGUCUGUUGUCAUGGGACAACAAAGAGGAGGGAAUGGGGAAAUAUGUACUGAACUUUAGAUUUUAUUGUAAGUAUCUGAUGAGACAAAAUGGAGCUGUACAAACCCCGGAGUGCUGAGCUAGUAUAUGCGAUAUAUGUAGGUGGGAACAGUAACCUCGUCUCGUUCUUAUGUACGGAAGGAAUAUUUUGUAAACGCUGUGUUUGAGGUCCCCUCCCAUCCCUGGUGAGAAUGGAGGUGAACUUACCCCCUGCAGGUAAUAAAGAAUAAAGCUGCUUGAUGAAGAAACACUCAGUGUUGGGAUUGUGUUCUGUGAGUCUCAGCAGAGAGAUACUUGACAGGGGGUUAAGGGUGAAAGGUGGGGAGUUUAUGGGGCACAUGAGGGGAUACCUCUUCACUCAGAGGGUCACACACCCACAAAACGUCUCCCCCCGAAUGAGGCGGAGCCCAAAUGUCGGGUCCCUCAAAUGAGCUGCUGCCAACCGGAGACCGGGGUCUUCGGGCUGGUUUGUUGCCGCCAGAGAACAUGAUGUGUGCCCCUGGUGAUGGACACACUGACGGUAGGUGUCGGCGAUUGAAAGCCCGUGUUUCCCUGCACCCCACCCCCCCCCCCCCGGAUCCAGCCAGUCUCGUUCCCCCGGGAGAUGAAAGAGAAAGUAAAUUCAUCCGCUUACAACUGGACAAUGAUGUGUGUUAAUUAUUUGGACAAUGCAGUUCAAACAAUUAGUGAGGUUGUGGAUGUCACCAAAACCGGUGUGUGGAGAAAGUGAGGGUUGUCUAAGGUUCCAGUGGGAUCGAGACCAGUUGGGAAAGUGGGCCGAGGAAUUGCAGGUGGAUCUUAGCUGUCACUCAGAAACAGUUCUUCAGGGGGUCAUAGACGACUGAGACACGAAAGAGAGCUUUUCUUGGGCUCUGGAUUCAAACGGACAAGACUCAUCUCGUUUGAAGGUACCACGGCAGAAUAAAAGUUGUUGCUCCGCCACCCUGAGGGUGCAGUCAUCAAUUAGGAGCAACUUCGCACCAUCCUCCACAAGUCUGACUUACCAGUCAGCACGCAUUUUAAUUCUUCAUUCCCAGUCCUGUUCCGCCGUGUCGAUCCAUGGACUCCUCUUGUGCCAAGAUGAGCUCCCAUCCCCCCACCCCAGGGUGGUGGAGCAACACAUUAUAUUCCGUCUGGGUACCCUCCAACCUGACGGCAUGAACAUCGAUUUCCCCUCCUGUGAAUAAAUUACCGUCACCCUCCUCUAUGCCCCACUCUGACCUUGUACUUCUCACCUUCCUACAUUCCUCCCGGGACCCUCCUCCUGCCCUCUCUCUGGUCCACUCUCCCCUCCUAUCAGAUUCUUUAUUCUCCAGCCCACCCUUUCUUGACCUUCCCCACCCACCCGGCAUCAAAUUCCAGCUCGCCUCUUCCCCUCCCCCACCAUAUUUCUAUUCUGGCACCUUCCCCUGUGCUUCUCUGCCCUGCAGAAGGCUUUCUGCCAAAAAACGCCGUCUGUUCAUAAUUUUCUAUAGAUGCUGCCUGAGGUGCUGAGUUCCUGCAGCGUUUUGUGUGAGUCGCCUUGAAUUUCCAGCACUUGCAGACUUUCUCCUGUUAGUUCCAGAAAUCGCCGUCCGUGACCAGACGAUCACAUGCGCAUGCGUAAGGUCGCGGUGAGUUUCGCGCGUGCGCACGGUGGACAAAAAGCUCGGAGACUCGCUGCAGGUAGGAGCGGGGAUCCGGGCGGAUUAUCAUCGGUACCGGCGUCCGAACCGCGACCGGCCACACCUUUCUUCCCCACCCCGGGUUAGUCCAAGUCCUUACCCCUCUCUCUACGGGGGCUCCGGGGAAUUUGCUGCUGAGGAGCGGAGACGCUGGAGCCGUGGCGGAUAGAUGGGUCUCUUCUUCGUGUAGGUUUCUGGGUAAUGAGGCAGCCAUUGAUGACAGGGCCAGCGUUUUCCCCGUUAGUCCGUAGGCCGUAUUUGGAAUCGCAGGGGGAGGGAAGGGGAGUAGAUGGAUCACUCGGGCACCACCGAGCACUGAGGAGCUGACCUUCCAGUCAAUGAAAAUGUCAAUUUUUACUGUAUGAAAAGAAGGAAACAAAAUCCUUACAUCAGCUUUAGUCCUUGUGGAAAUCACCUUUGUUCCAUCUUGAUCUGGACCUUUCUACCUGUGAGAACUUGUUUAGUACCAUUCGCUUUGGGUACAUAAUAAUACCAAUUACCUUUGGCCUGGUUAACAAGUGACCUGUAGCGUUCUCAUCACAAAUAUGCCACUCUCCAAUGAGAACAAGGACUGCCCUCCCCAUCAUGUUCAUUGGCAUUGCCGCUGACGGGCUCUCCACCGUCAAUCACCUGUGCGGAGGGGCAGAGUAAUUUGAAACUCUCCAGGGUUUGCUAUGUAACAUCACAUGCUCUUUGUAGUGCUGCCGUACACGAUCAGAACUUGAAAUAAUACCUAUGUUUUCUCUAAUUUAUUUUUCUCAGAACGUAUGGACCGACCAUUUGUCUGAAAGUUAAAUGUUUAAACAGCCUGAAAACAGCACGGCAUCAACAAAACACCAGCUGUGCAGCAGCAAAGGCUGUCUGUGUGGGAACAUUUCAGUUACUGCGCAGCUCGGAAUAAUAUGGGACAGAGAAUAAUACUAAUGGAAGGAAUCAGACUGAGCUAAGUCACAGAUUGAAAUUCCCAUUCUCACACAGACAGGAAAUCUGUUGGGGAAUUAGAUGGACAGACCAGUUGCCGGCGUCAUGAGCAGUUAGAAGAACAGAAAAGAUUUUCAAGACUUUUGACAACUUGGUUAGAGUCCCCCAAACACAAACUAAUCCAAGAGUUCAUACUCUCGAGGAGAAUGAUAACAGUAGGUGAUGCAAUACAAUUUUACAGGCUACAAUGACAUAAUUUACUUCAGUAUUAUGUUUCUCAAAUGGCUCCAUUGAAGUACAUACUUAGAGUGGGAGAAUAUUGAAUUGAUAAGAAACCACUGAAGGUUCAGUCACCUUUGUUGGGACAAACUAAUUCACAUAAACAGUCCACACAUUGCACUCGUUCAUUAUUUAAUCGCAAUCUGUCACCACGGGGAUUGCAUCUGCCUGACGUAAUUGGUUUGUAAAUAAUUUUAAAACAGCUAUUUUUAAAUCUGUUAAAAUGUGUCCCUCUGGAGUCGCUAAAUGGUAUUAAAAACCGUAGGCUUGGGCUGCCUUUACAUUUCAUUCCAAGAGAUCGCCUGUAGCACAGUGGGGACAGAUCACUGGACAGAGAAAAUGCCUGCAUUGUUCAAUAGGUACAGAAGUGUGGAGAAAAUACUGUACGUGUUCAUCGCCGUCAUUGGAGUUCCUGGUAAGUGAGCAGAGCAAUUCUUGUUUGGUAUUUCUGUGUGUUAACCAUGUGAAUCUGUUUAUGAUCAUUUGACGAGCUUCUAACUUGAUGAUCAUUGUAGAAAUAUCCGUCAGAGAUAUUGAUCCUGUCAGUUCAACACUCUGAAUUUUCAUAUUUAAUGACAAGCGGAGCUAAACUCCUGUCUCUCAUCAAACUCACGUGAUCGACUCGAACGUUGUUCUUGCCUUCAAUGACACCUUGUCCGGAGUUGUCCCAGUGUGGGGACAGGCAGCUCUCCCGCAAGGUGUGACUGGAAUGGGUUUACAUUGUAAAGUUCACUGUUUCUGAGUUAUCGAUCAGAGAGAACCCCUGGUCCUGUGUUUCAUGUCUCCCUGUGGAGUCUGUCACAGUCGGAUCCCACUGCCUGUCGGUCAAUAAUUGGGUCUGAUCAUCUGAACCAGUGUCAACGGAUCUGCUGACGAGAGUUAUCGAAUUGAACUGCGCUGUGGAAUUAAUCCAUUAACGGAGCCGCUCAGCCUCAGGUUGCUCAGUUGUUCCUGCUUUCCCUCUGAGACGCGUCGUAAAUUUUCUCCAGGACAACUCUUCGUCCUGGAGAAAAGUCUCGGCCCAAUACCAAAGUUUGUUCAAUUCCAUGUACAGAAUGUUGCCUGACCUGCUGAGUCCCUCCAGUGUUUUGUGUGUGUUCCUCUCCUCUGCAUGCCUUAUCGGCCCCAUCAUUUACGAGUUUCCAGGGGCCAGGUCAGUCACGAUUAAAUCAGUGAAACCGGCCAGGUCAGGGACAGGAAUCGUGAUCAGCACCGACCUAUGUUGUUCAUGCAGAUCGCUUUUAUCGCCGACGAUUGUCCACAAUUGUCUUAUCUCCACACUGAAGAAGGCAGGUCAGAGACAGUGUGACCAGUGUCCCAUGUUAGGUUAGCAGCCGUGCACUGACUCCACAACUCCUGGUCUUCAGCUGAAACCCGAUCCCUUGAGGAAUGCGUUCAGUAAUGGCCUCUGUCUGUUAUCUCUCUCUCCCUCACUCUCUCUGCUCCCUCGCCCUCCCACCUCCCCUCUCCCUGUCUCCCUCCCCCUCUCCCUCCUCUUCUCCCCCUUUCCCACACGCAGUGAAUGUAGUGGCGAUUGUGAUCCUGUCUCGGGAAAGUGCGGCCUCUCUACCUGCACCACUCGCUACCUGGUUGCCAUGGCAGCGGCUGAUCUACUGACCAUUGUCACCGCGGUCAUUUUGUGGCGAAUCAAAUCCUAUUACUUCCCGUGGAGUUUUCUGGACAUCACCCCUGUGUGCAGUGUUAUCGAUGUACUGAGAUGCACAGCCACAAACUGUUCUGUCUGGUUCACCGUCGCUUUCACCUUUGACCGGUUUGUCGCCAUUUGCUGCCAGAAGCUGAAAACAAAAUAUUGCACCGGGAAAACUGCAACUGUGGUUCUAACAACAAUCGGCGCACUAUUCUGUCUGAAAAAUGUUCCCCGAUACACACGGCAACCCAGGGUGAUCAUCGACAAUGUACCGUGGUUCUGUAAAGUGAUGGACAGUUAUUUCACUGACCCCGGGUGGGGAGGGUAUGACUGGUUCGAUACGGUUUUAACUCCGUUCCUCCCUUUCGCUGGGAUCCUGCUGCUCAACGCUCUGACAGACACAUUUUAGUGGCCAGUCGGGUCCGAAAGGGGCUGAAGGGACAGGGCAAGGGGGAGAACCGCAGUGACCCGGAGAUGGAGAGCAGGAGGAGGUCUGUGAUUUUACUUUUCACCCCCUCCGGCAGCUUCAUCCUCCUGUGGAUGACACUGGUUGUAAAUUUCAUAUAUUAUCAGGUCUCAGGGAAAGGAUUCAGUUUCAAUGAUUCUGAAUGGAUCUUUAUGUACGUCGGGGUUUUGCUGAGUGAUUUCAGCUGCUGCACCAACACGUUUAUUUACGCGGUGACUCAGUCAAAAUUCAGGGAACAGAUAAUUAGGUCGGUGAAAUAUUCUGUCACCUCGGUGGUUCAUUACAUUAAUAAAGCUGCGUCCUGAGCACAAGCCGGACGCAGCCACAAUUUCUCCAGUCCGGAGGCCAACUCCUCACAUUCACCGCCUGAUCUCGCAGUUGUUAUUCCGGGGCCGACUGUCCCAUUGACCAGUAGGUCUGGGACAUUAGGAUAGUGUGUUUCUGGGGAGGGGCAAAGCACUGUCCUGGACUCGCCAGAUGUCAGUCAACGAACUACUCUGAAAUGCCAGCCAUCCAUUGGUCUGGGAAUAUGUCCAUCUACUCCUAUUCCCACCCACCAACCUCACAGACCGACUUUCCCACAAGACAGCUGGUGUUCUAGUCUGAUGCUGGUAGGAUAAUCAAAUGUCAAGCACACCAGUUUCCGCCUUCCGCUUGAAUGAUUGGCUAACGUGCAUAUAAAUAGGGCGGGUUUUGGAUACAUGGUGGUUGGUACUCCAAAUUAAUGCACGUUCCCGCCACUAACUGGACUGGAAUAUGGUGUAGAGGAUUGGGAAAUAAAACCCUUGCUGCUUCUUUGUUCUAAUGAAAACUGAAUUACACUCCAAAAAUCCUACAGAUUGUACCCACGUGAAGCCCAAUAGAGAGAAUCAAAUUAAACUCAUUCCCACGACUGAAAUGAAAGAUAUCCGCCCCCAACGAUUGUAAUGAAAUCUGUAUUUCAUUUCUGUCUACCUGAUCACCUUCACCCUGAAAUAGUGUGUGUUCAAGUGCUUCAUAAUGACAAGAACUACAUGACCCAGUAUGGAGUUUUCCAACACGACAUAAGGAAUAAUUCGUUAUAGUCGGGCUAAUUCAGGUCGUAUCAAUAUAAUUCCUUCCCUUCUUGUUUUUACCCGGUUCUCCCAUGAACCGAACACAGGUGUUCUCUAAAGGUGCUCCCCUUGUGCCCAGUAUCCCACUAGAUUUACCAUAAGCCCCUAAUUCUUAACCCUGCAAACUCUGAACCAGCUUCUGAUUUGCAAAGUGGAAGGUUUGAAUCUACAGUUGAAUCUUCAACAGCUUUUGCAGCGAAAUAGUCAACCCGUUCAUUCACACCCAAUUCUGAAUGGACGCCCAUUCCAAGUGAACCACAAUAUUCGACAAAUGAACCACAAUUGCUCACAUCCGCAAACCGGUGUGUACCCCGUAUAUGGCAAAUUACAUCAGCAAAUUACUGUGCAUCCCAUAUUGGCCGACGCAUUCCGUAAUCUGUGUACACCCCAAAUCCAUGUUCAACCCCAAAUCGGGGCGCCCCUCCAAAUCCGCAAGCAACCCGCAAAUCAGUGUGUACACCCAAAUCCGUGUGCACCCACAAAUCUGCGCACAUUCUGAAACAGGAGCGCACUCCAUAAUCAUUUUGCACACCAACCAGGUGAAAGCUCCACAUGCAGUUCAUCUAAUCCCAAAGCAUAAUUUUCAAACAGUACACAAAACGGCUGACUCGAUAUUAAGCACUCGCACGCAACCCACAAUUCUUGUGUAAAUCCAAAUCCGCUGGCGUUCGCUGAUCCCAUAUUCGACAACACAGAAAUAAGAGAGCACCACAAAAUCUAUGUGCACCCGUUGAAAGGACAAAGCACAGGGGUUAUAAAAGUAUCGGAAAUUAAAACCCGUCACAACUCCAAAUCCGCAGUCUCCAAAAAAUCUGUGAGAACACCGAACUCAGUAAACAUCGCCAGAAAGCCCGAAAGCAAUGAAAAUCUGUGCCAGCCCCAAAUCAGUGCGCACCCCAAACACCUCACAUGCAUAAUAGCUUGUCUCAGAGCAAGAAUCAUUUCAAACAGUUUAGAAAAUGGCUGUAUCAACAUUAAAAAAGUCCCCAGCCAACCAGUUGUUUGUUUGCACCUUCCGAUCGGCCGAAACCCCAAAUCUGGAUGCAACCUUAAAUCUGUGUGCAGUCCUACCUCCGACAGCACAAUCCUAAAUCUGCGUGCACCCCCAAAUCCA